CUUUUCAGCAGUUCAGCCGCACAGCUUCAAUCCCUCAACCUUCGCCCCUUCGCCAUGGCCGCCGCCGACGCCACUGCCACAGCUGCCGACAACGCCACCGCCAUAGCCACAGCUACCGACGCCACCGCCAUAGCCACAGCUCACACACCACCGCCACCGUCGUUUCUUCUGAUUAAGAGAGCACUGCGACGCUGCCGCUGCCAUCGCCUCCCCAUCGCCAGAGCCGACGCCUCCACCCCAGCCACCGCCGUCCACUCACCAGUCAUCACUCACGCUGUCACGCAGGCCGCAGCCACCACUCGCCUGACCACCGCUGAAGGCCACCGGCGACAAAAGAGGUUGAAGAGGUCAAAACAUGGUUUGAGUAGAGACUGAUAGCUAAAAUGGUACUGAUGUCAUUAUGAGAGAGGCAAACAUGACUUGCAUUUCAUUCAGUUUGUUUUUUCAGAUUUAGAAGUAUAACCAUCAAUUCAUGUGCUUGCCUUUAAAGAUGGAGGCUCUAGAAGUUGUUCUUUCUCAAGCUCUUGGCCAAGCAAGGCCUAUUACUGAUUUUCUACAUGAGAAUGGUAAAAUAUUUGUAUCUGAAUACUUAGGAUUGCUAUGCUUUAUUGCAUGAGAUAGUGAAAAACUCAAGGAUGCCUCAUUACUAGCUGUUAAUGCUUUCUGGUUUAGAUAAGUUCAUUUCAAAGUAAUCAUUUGAAUUCAUCUCAUCAAGUAAUGAAAAGCUCAAAAUUUUGCCUUUAAUUAUCUUUGUACCCUACACUAGAAAUUUUAUAAUUCAUGAAUGGCUUAAUGUUUGGCUUCUAACACUAAACUGCAUGUCAAUGUUAUGUUUUGUACUAUUAUUUAAUUCUCUAAAUGAGGGAUGAUUUAUUAUUAACCUUGCAGUGAUAUGUAAUGCUUUAAAGUUAUGUUUUCAUUAUUGAUGAUUUAUUAUCCCUGAGGUGCUUUCCCUGCCACAUAAUAUAUAAUGUUUCCUUGAUUUUAUGUAUCUACUCUAAUGAUUUUAUACCUUCUAAUACUUCCUUUUGAGUAGGGAUUAUCCUCUAUAUGAAUUCUACUUGUUUACUUUUCUUUCAAGGAAGUUAGUCUAUUUAGAAGUUAAAAUCUGUGUAGCACAUUUUAACUAUUUGUUUGUUGCCGGACUUGGAUAUUUCUCAAGUCCAUAUUGCAGGGUGUUGAUGAGCCGACUGUUCGUAGUCUUAAUGGAUGCAGAGUUACUGAUCAAGUUUUGCAUUUAGUUCCUAAUAUUCAGUUCUUUAAUGGCUGCCAUAACAUGCCUUGUUGGAUUACAUUAUGGGCACAUUCUUAUUCAGGUCAAGGGUCACAAGCAAAGGAUAAUAUUAUGGUCCAUAUUCUCCUUCCCACUACUGAUUGUAGGUUAAAAAAUGACCAUGGACAAAUUUUUGAUAUAGUUCUUUAUUUAAAGAGCUUAAAGUGCUUAAGAACAUAGGGCUCCUACAUUUUCCUAUGCUCAUGAUUUUACUCCCCUCUUCACUUAAAUCCUAUUUGUCUAUAUUCAAUUUUCAACCAAGGGGUCCUUUGCUCUAUGGGAUUUUAGGUACAAUAACAGUAGUGGCCAAAGACUUUGUAGCUUUCAAUUAUUUUUAAUUUGGAACUGUAAAUUUGUAAUUUCAUGGAUUAUUUUUUAGUUUUUACAGUGAGUGAAGUACACUGUAAUUGGAAUUGUAAUGGUGUUUCUGUAAUUGGAAUUGUAAUGGUGUUUCUGUAAUUGGAAUUGUAAUGGUGUUUGUAUUGAGUUGAGAGUUACAAUGUAUAAAAAGGAAUAUUUUUGUCUUUUUU